rnacentral:rRNA from 1 species
AUUGCCCCAGUAACGGCGAGUGAAGCGGCAACAGCUCAAAUUUGAAAUCUGGUCCCCAGGGCCCGAGUUGUAAUUUGCAGAGGAUGCUUUUGGUGAGGUGCCUUCCGAGUUCCCUGGAACGGGACGCCAUAGAGGGUGAGAGCCCCGUCUGGUUGGAUACCGAGCCUCUGUAAAGCUCCUUCGACGAGUCGAGUAGUUUGGGAAUGCUGCUCUAAAUGGGAGGUAUAUGUCUUCUAAAGCUAAAUAUUGGCCAGAGACCGAUAGCGCACAAGUAGAGUGAUCGAAAGAUGAAAAGCACUUUGAAAAGAGGGUUAAAUAGUACGUGAAAUUGUUGAAAGGGAAGCACUUAUGACCAGACUUGGCCCCGGUGAAUCAUCCAGCGGUUCCCGCUGGUGCACUUUGCCGGGGUUCAGGCCAGCAUCAGUUCGCUCCGGGGGAUAAAGGCUUUGGGAAUGUGGCUCCCUCGGGAGUGUUAUAGCCCAUUGCGUAAUACCUUGUGGCGGGCUGAGGUUCGCGCUUUAUGCAAGGAUGCUGGCAUAAUGGUCAUCAGUGACCCGUCUUGAAACACGGACCAAGGAGUCGUCUUCGUAUGCGAGUGUUCGGGUGUUAAACCCCUACGCGUAAUGAAAGUGAACGCAGGUGAGAGCCCUCCAGGGCGCAUCAUCGACCGAUCCUGAUGUUCUCGGAUGGAUUUGAGUAAGAGCAUACGGGGCCGGACCCGAAAGAAGGUGAACUAUGCCUGUAUAGGGUGAAGCCAGAGGAAACUCUGGUGGAGGCUCGCAGCGGUUCUGACGUGCAAAUCGAUCGUCAAAUAUGGGCA